UACGAAGGGGGCUAACGUUGUUCGGAAUUACUGGGCGUAAAGCGCACGUAGGCGGAUUUGUAAGUCAGGGGUGAAAUCCCGGGGCUCAACCUCGGAACUGCCUUUGAUACUGCAAGUCUUGAGUCCGAUAGAGGUGAGUGGAAUUCCUAGUGUAGAGGUGAAAUUCGUAGAUAUUAGGAAGAACACCAGUGGCGAAGGCGGCUCACUGGAUCGGUACUGACGCUGAGGUGCGAAAGCGUGGGGAGCAAACAGG
rnacentral:rRNA from 1 species